GGAAAAUUGUCCCACUUCCUCAGGACCUGUCCUUAUGUCCCGUUAAUUCACUAAAAAGCCUAUUUAAACAGAACCACCACGAAAUCUUCAGGCCCCUUGUUUAUUAGGGAAAAUGGUGGAACCAUCUCCCUAAAAGGAAUCAGACAUCAUUUUCUAUAUUUUAUCAAACAAGCUAACCCGGAAUCAAUUCCGCGGGCACAUGAUGUCAGGGCGGUAGCUACCUCAGUUAAUUAUUUUCAACACAUGAACUUUGACGAUCUCAAAAAGUAUACAGGCUAGAAAUCACCGACAGUAUUUAAACGCCACUACCUAAAAUCCUUAGAGGCCCUUAAAUUCCCAGCAGUGGUAGCGGGGAACACAGUUUCCCCUGACACUGCAUAGCAUGGUAAUAACUAGUCUAAGUAGCCUAUGUCUCUCUUUCAUCUCUCUCCUACCUGCCUCGCUAGCAUUCUUGACCUUAGCUCGGUUGUUACUGGGUUGCACACUUUAACCUGGUUCUCACCUGGAUUGUACUAUGAUCAUUCUUGCUUGUACAUAUGGAUAUCUGGUUGCAAUUUUGUGUAAAUAAAUUCCUGUUUAGUGGUGUAGGAUUUAUUUAAUGUUAUAUGUUGGGUUAUACAACCCUAUUUAGUAGAUAAGGACUGUAGUUUAAGGAUAUCAUUAAAAAUCCUCAUAGUAUUAAGGAAAUUUAUUAAGUACUUGUAGAAUGAAUAACCCUUAUUAAAUAGUAUUUAAUAAAUUAUACAAGUUUCAAUUUCCUUACAGUAAUUGAUCUACACUAACUUUCCAAGCUGGUGGGGCCAAUUCUCUGUUACUAUUUCAUGGAGCGACACAGGUUAGGCCCAGAAAAGGGAUUUUGACAAAGGAAAAAUCUAUUUCUGGGCUCAGCCGUGUCGCUCCGUGAAAUACGUUCCUUUAGCGCUAAUUCUAAGGUAAAUUAUUGCUAAAAUACCAGAGAACUGCUAAAUUGGACAUGCCAGAAUAUUCUGACUCGCUCACCCUUUCUAAAAGGUGUCGGUAUGAAUUUGGGGCAAGUGAACAACACUACCACAGCAGCCCUCUCCAAUUAGCCUUUUCCACAUCAAAACCCCUUAGAAAAGGGGAGCCGUGCUAUGGCUCACUCCCUGCUACCGCAAAGGUAGUGUCAGGGUCUACAUUCCUUUGAUAGCCAUUAAGAGAGCUGCACAUUAUUUUUGCAUUCUGUUUUUAUCUGCCUUUUUGGCUUGUGUUUUUUAGCUAUGGAUCGUCAAUCUGCCUCCCCAUCCAAGUUAAGUACAGUGGACUCACACAUAUGAGAAAUAUCCACAAAUUCCUAGUUUUUUUGAUAAAUUUCAUCAUAAAAUGCACUUUUUGUGAUACUAUUAAAAAAAACCAAGUAUGAACAUUUUUAGUGGUUUUUCUUGAGUUUUAACUAACAAAAUAGGCUGUUUUUAGUGUUUUUAUAGGGUUUCCAAACAUUCGCGGGUUCUAACUAUUCACGGGGGGGUCUGGUACGCAUCCCCCGCGAAUACGGGGGGACCACUGUACUGGUUUUUUGUUCGGCACUAUUUAGGGAGUGAUUUUGACCCUUGUGGUUCUUUUAUUUAGGGUUUUGUCUGGCGUCGCCUUCGCUGACGAGGCUGGGUGCCGCCAUUACGCGUUCCCCUUUGGUGUCGUUUCGGUUUCGCAUGGUCUUCCAUACUUCGUGAACCGAGUUGUAUAUCAGUACUCUUAUUUCCCUUUUCUUGGAUGGCAGUUUUUGUCGAUCGUGUAUAUGCUUAUGUUUAUAUUUUUGUUUAUUUCGUGCUUUACACGGGGGUUUCCUUUCGAGCACGUGUCUUUGUUUCGUGCCUCAUCGAGUACCCACCGUUAUAGUUUUACUAGUUUUCAUUAUGAUUUUGUUUUAUUUCUUUUUCGUUAUCAUGCCUACCUCUGCCGUUCGGUUUACUUAUAUCGUUUCGGCAUUAGGCCAUUCUAGUUUUGUCCUGGUUAGGGACAUCCUUAUCAGGUGGCCCUACCUGGCUGUUAGGCGUUUUUAUAGUUUUAUGUUCAUUUCCCUUACCAUGUCUCCCCCCCGUGUUAGUGCAUGAUUUUACUUACUUUUAAGUAUUUAUUGUUUAUUUGUGGGGCAGUGACCUGCGUCGCCCAGUGAAACCCACCCUCUAAUUUCCACACCCUAAGUGGCCCAAGCUUGGGUGCUAUCUACAGGAAUGGUAAACAAAGAGCUAGUUGUAUCGGUAGCGGGGGCCUAGAACGGCUCCUCUGUAGACGAGGGAUAUUGAGAAAGGAAGAGACUAAAUGGCAGAGGACCUCUGGUAGUGGUUUCACUCGCCCCAGAUACCAUACCGACACCUUGAAUAAAGGUGAGCGAGCCAGAAUAUUCUGGCAUUACCAUAUAGCUUUUUUCUCAGGUAUACUUAGCAAUAUUUAUACCUUAGAAAUGAGUGCUAAAGGAACAUUUCACUGGGCGACACAGGUCACUGCCCAGAAGUAGGUUUUUCCUCUGUCAAAAUCCCUUUUUUAUGUUAAUGUUUUAUGUAUACUUACCUGGUAGUUACAUAACAAAAGCCCACCCACCUCCCCUCUGUGGACAGGUAGGCAUAAAAAAUCUGAUCUUAGCUGGAAUAGUUCCUAGUACCCCGGUAGGGGGCGGGGGGAGCGAAGGGAUCACCUGACCUAUCAACUAGCGCUACCACAAGUUUUUAAAUUCUGCCGUGACAUCAGAGACUAUAGCUAUAUGUAACUACCAGGUAAGUAGUAUACGUAAAACAUUAUUCUAUCAUAAAAAUGUCAUAUUUAUUAUUAACAAAGACAAAUCUGGGCCAACCCUGUGAGAUAGAAAUAAUUAGCUCAGUUAUAGCCCAGUUUAAAAAUAUAUUUUAGUCACACAUCCAAAUCAACUCUCAGCGCCUCAGAGGCGUGGUCAGUAUGGUGUUGUCGUACCACCUCGGUGGCCGCAAAUUCGAUUCUCGGGCAUUCCAUUGAGGUGUGAGAGAUGUGUAUUUCUGGUGAUAGAAGUUCACUCUCAACGUGGUUCGGAAGUCAUGUAAAGCCGUUGGUCCUGUUGCUGAAUAACCACUGGUUCCAUGCAACAUAAAAACACCAUACAAACAAACAAAUCAACUCUCCCUUUUGUUAAGUAUGAAUAUGAAGGGCCAUGAAUGUUUAUGUAACUUAAGGUUUUUUCAAUUAAAAACUCAAUUCAAAGAUAAAAAACUAUUUGUAUUAUUUUAUCCAGUAUUUCAAUUUUGAGGCUGAUAAUCUCUAAUAGAAUUGGGGAUGUAUAAUUGACAAAGUAAGGGUUUGGAAGAUUUCAAAUUGCAAGAAAAAAAGGUUGGCUGAAUGUGCUUCAACUUAGAUUUUACCCAGCAAAUGCCAUCUUCUCAAGUUUGAGAAAACCUUUGUUUGCCUUGUCACAAUUGAAUAUUGCAGGUUUCCUGUAAUAAAUGCAUGUCAUUUAUAUUAUUUAUGUAGACUAUUGUUACCUUACUUUUUUCUCCAUCAAUUUGUGAAUCUUGCAGAAUUGAUGUAUGUGCUAAGGUGGCAUCAGAAACUGGGAAGACUAUUAUUCACUCAUCAGAAAACUGUGAUGUUAUUGCUGGGCAAGGUACUGUUGCUUUGGAAUUUUUGGAAGAGGUUCCUGAUCUAGAUGCCAUCUUGGUGGCCACUAGUGGAGGAGGCAUGUUAGCAGGUGUUUCGUUAACAGCUAAAGCAAUUCAGCCAAGUUGUCAAGUGCGAUCAUACCCAUACUUUCAAGAAUAAGAGGAAGAUAAGGUAUGGUUGAUACAAAUCCCCAUCCUAUGGAAAUUUAUAUGAAGGUGAAAUAAAGCAUCCAAAAUAUGGAAUAACUCAGAAUUUAUAUCUAGACUUGUUUCUUGUCCCAAGGAAAAUCUGAAGGAAACUUAGAUAUAUUUUCUGAGUAAUUUUUUUGUGAUAUUUUUCAAGAAAUCAAAGUAAAUGGUGAAGUGUUCAGGAAAAUUUGACUUAACACUGCUAACAAAUAAAGGUAACUAAAUUAGGACAAGUUCUGAUGGAAUGGGCAUUCCUUGUAUAUUUCAAUAAAAGAAGUAGGGUUUCUCUGGUAUUAGCACACCUUUAUAAUAAUUUUCCUCCAGUUUCAAAGUUGGUGUAAGAACUUGAAAGUUUAUGCCUGUCAGUUCAUGAAUAAAUUUAAUACAGUAGUAGCAUGAUGAUUCAUUUCCAAUAGAAAUUUAAGAGUUCUUUAACAAGGUCCUAAUCACACUAGGCCUUAAGGUUGCAGGUUGACCAGUGCACUUGUUGAUCAUAGAUUCACUAACAUCAUGUUGGAAAAGUUGAGAUAUGUAGAUAAAACCUACAAAGAUACUUAUAUUCUGCAUCUUGUGUGAACUUCAUACUUUCUCUUCAGUUAUUUAUUUAUAAUUUUCCAUUUGCAUAGUGUUCAAUAAAUAAACAUGGUAGUAGUAGAAUAGGUAAAUAAUCCUGUAAAUAUUUUUAUAACACUAUAUAUCACUUAUAUAUCAAUUCUUUGGCCCCUGGUUAUUUGAAAACUUGGGACCGAGUAUUGCUCAUAUUUCCAAAAAAUUUCUUAUCUAUAUAGUUUUCAUAUUACAAAAGUCACUGAUCAUGAAGAUUCAAAAUGUAGUGAUUGCAUUCAUGGUAAAAAUGCUGAUCAUGGCCUUUGUUAUUUAACUGUAACAUUAUAUACCCAAUGUGGAGACAUGUACUAUGGUGUUUUGAGUAAUUUCCUAAACAACGCGAUUCUCUGUUU